CAUAAAUAAGUAAAUAAGUGUGAUUGUAUAAAAUAUUUGAAUUUGAUUUUCAUAUAAAAUACUAUUCCCAAAUUCAUGCCUAUACAGUUCAAAAAAAAAAAAAAAUCACGCCUAUUCUACCCACGAUUGAUGAGACAACACGACUCUUUCCAUUCCCAACAAUUGAUUUUCACAAACAACGUAGGUCUCUUCUCCUUGCCUUCAGUUUCUGAAACAAAGCCCUAAUUUGUUUUCUUCAUCACAGCUCUGAACCACCAUUGAAGUUACUCACUCAAAUUUGUCUUUUGAAAUCAAAAGCCUUAUGAAAUUUCUGGUGAGUUCUUUGUUUUUUUAUGCCCCUCUUGUGAUAUAUUUGCUCAUAUUUUGAUAUGGCAUUUACAGGUUUGGAAAUUUUUGCUUUAGUCAUGUAAUUAAAUAAAUGACUUUUCUUUCUUAUUAUAUUGAUGAAAGCAAAUGCAUUUUAAAGAUAAUGUGCUUCUAAUGUCAAACAUGUUUUAGCUUAAUAGUGACUAUCUGUCUGCCAUAAACUGGGUGAGACAGUACCGGAAUCAGGGAAAGAUGAAGGAUCUGCGAAGGUAUGUCUAUCCAAAAAAUAUUUAUUCAUUAUUCUUCUUUUCUUCUUUUCUUUUGGGUACAUCGGAGGCCAUAACAUGGGGGAAGAGGAAAUGUUGCCUAGAAUUAAACCCUUGACCUCCUACUUUGGUGCUGGUGUUUUGGCCAACUGGGCAAGUUGUAGUUAGUAGUUGAUUAUCUAUACAUCUCGUUGAUUAAUUUAUUUUUAGAUUCAAUUUUGGGUAUUGGCCCACAUUUUUUGUUUAUUUUGGGCAUAACUUACCGUGGACUUAUGAAUGGGUGUACUUGAAGAUGUAAAUAGAGGUGUUAUUCUGUAAAAUUAAUCCUUUACUAGUGCCAACAUAAUCUAUGUUUUAUUUGAAUUGUAACUUAGGCACCGUGGUAGAUGUAUUGCGUGUGUCACAUGCUUUAAGAUGGCUGAGAUUUUUAAAACCAGAUGAUUCUAAACAAAUAUGAGGCCUUUUGUAUGUUAAAUUUUCCAUUCUGUAUAAUUUUUUGAAAAAACAUAAAUAAGUAAUUGGAGUUGUGGUGGUUCUUCGUGAGCCUUAACAAAUUGGACAUUAAUUGUUUGGAGAAAUAAUUUGUGACUUUCACGACCUUGAUGAAUGGAUUGGAUCUCAUUUUCACCAAAAUUUUCAUCCAAUUUAAACUUGAUGAAGGAUUGGAGAUGUUCUAAUGUGAAUUCAAUUAGUGUAAAUUUUGAAGCUACUAGUACUGUCAAAUUAUUCACUUUCGUUCUUUACCUAGUCGUAUGAAGCUGAUUGUUUGGGCUGAUUGGUAAAGACUUGUUUUUCUGGUUCUAUAGUCCAUCGAUUUUAACCCCUGAAUGAUAUUUGUGUGGUAUGUGUCAUUUUGGAUAACAGAAUAGAUGCACUUUGUUGUUUUGUAGCAGAAAGGACAACAAAAGAAAGCCAAAAAGAAUGCUUCUAGUGGAAGCAGAGAGUUAUUGCCUCAAAAUGCAACAUCAUUUUUGCUUUUAGCCUUGCUCUCAAGUCUUUCAAAACUCCACCAUAGAUAUCAUCAGCAAUAAUACGGUCAUCACAUUUCUUUCUUGAAAACAUAGUAUAAUGCAACUCAUGUGUACCAAUAUACCUGCAUAUUUUAGGGGAUCGAUCUUGGCUAUAUAUAUCUAUUGUUGGAGUUUUGUUCUACUGGUGUGCAUAACUUGCAUGAUCUUAUGACAGUAAAUUGUGAUUUUCUUUAAUCAUUGGAAACAUUUUCACUGCCUGAGUUUUUCUGACUCUUUGCUUAAUCACUUGGAUGUAUCCUUAUUAUUUUCAGAAUAGUUGAUUUCUAGAGCUAUUGCCUAUUGUUAGGCAAGAAACAAUUGAUGGAUUCACUUCCAAGGCUACUGAUGUGUUUCGAAGAGAAUUUGAUUUCUUUGAUAAAGUGAUAUCUAUAUCCAGUGUGCUCUUUCCAAAGGAGGAAUGACGAGCUGGUAUAUGGAGAGAGUUGGAGAAAAUUGUCUUAGCAACUGGAUGUACUUGACUGAAAAUGGAAUCAGAUCUUUCACCCAAAGACCUUAAAAUAUACUUUUUUUUUAUUGAGACGGAGACAAACAUUACCAUAAUUUAGAUAAAUUCUAUUUAGUAGGUGAUUUCCUUUUCUUAAUAUAUGGAGCCUAAGUAACCAAGGCAUGGACCAAAUAGGUCCUCCCCCCCCUCCUCUCUUCCCAGUUAAAUGUUUUAAAGUAGUUGAGCAUUCAAUUGUACAUUGAUAUUUUAUGUAUCUUAACACAUAACAUAGGCACCAGAAACCCCACCAAUUUAGUGCUUUUGCUGCUGCUGCUGUAGAGCUGUUUUUGCAGCAGCUGCAAGUUGCCCACUGAAAACCCCACCAAUUUAGUAGCUCAGACCAUAUCUUCCACACUUUAGAGCACUGUAACAGAACAUGGUUGCAAGAUUCAACUUCACUUUUACAAAAAGGGCAGACAUUACUAGAGCACCAUUUUUUUUUUUUUUUGCAAAUAGUCAGCUAUUUUCACCCUCCAUUACCAAGCGAACCAGCCAAAAAACUGGGUUUUGGGUGGGGAAACAUUAAACCAUAAUAGCUUAGGCACAAGCAAAUUGGAUCCAUGUUGGUCUUCAGCCAACCUUCUGAUAGCAGCCACAGAACUUUGAGUUGAGAAGAUGGAAGCAAGAUCAAAGAGUUGAAGAAAAAAUAUGUCACAAGAAGUGUGAUCAAUAUAAGAAGAAAUGCUCCUAAUUUUAAGGUUAUCGAGCAAGUUGAAGUUGAGUAUGUACCAAAAAAGGCUGAAUUUGAUGGUCAUUUGGAUGAGGAGUUUAGGAAGGUCUUUGAGAAAUUCAAUUUUAAGGAAAUUAUGGGGUCUAAGGAAAACGAUAAAAAGGAUAAGACUACUGCAGAUUCUGCCUCAAAGAAGGUUGACUCAGAUUCUAAAGAGGAAGAGUAGGAUAGCCAUCAAAAAGAGAAAGGUGUCUCUAAUAAAAAGAAAAAGGUGGAUGAACUCGUACACAAAGCUAAAUUGUACAGGACAAAUUGGCACUUUUUGUAUUUUUGGAAGGAUUAUAUAUUUUUGUAUAGAUGUAUAUGGAAAAUAUUAGGGUAGACUAGUAGUUAUAUUUUUGGAUACACUAGUAGUUAUAUUUUUGGCUGAGUGUGUAUGAAAAAUAUUUGGUAGAUUACUAGUUAUAUUUUUGGGUUGAUGCACAUGGAUAAAAAUUUAAAACACAAUAAUAAGUACAUGUUAUGUUUUAAAUUUUUAUGCUAGAUGAAAUAUGUAGUUUGGAAUUA